AUAGUUUUGGGAAGAUGGAGGGGAAAAAAUAAGAGACCCGUGGUUUGACCUAACAGGUCUCUUAUUUGUGUAUGGGCCCACCAGUCAAACCAAUUUUUUUUUGAGUUGAGAACAAAACCCUACUUCUCUUCUUAUUCCCCGAUUCCCCCAUUACCUUGCUUCACGCCGUUCUCUCUUUCUAUCUCACUCCCCUCUCCUCUCCUCUCUCCUCUUAUCUUAUUUUUUUCUCCAAGAGCAAAAAAUGUUGCUACAACCUCCUUCAUAACGCCGACGGUCGCUUCCUCCUCCUCUUCAGCGCCGACCCGCUUCCUCUUUCUAUUUUACUACGAGUUUAUUCGUGGUGAUUUCGGGUUUAGAUCUGAUGGAAAUGAGAAACUUCAAUAUUUGACGGGUUCACAGCAAAGGUGGAGAUUGAUGGUGUUCAAUUAUGAAGUCGAAGACGAUAGUUGUAGGCGAUUUUAAUGUUUAUUUAUGUAUCUGAAUUUAGUUCUAAUAACAUUGUAAGAGGUGUUUUUUUUGUUUUUUUGUUUUGUUUUUUUUUUUUUUUUUUUUUGCAAUAAGAGUUAUUCUUUUUCAAAAUGUAGAUUUUAUAUAACUCUUGUACAAUAGUUAUACCUAACACGAAGUAUGGAGUUUGAGUUAUUGUAAAUUUUUUCGACAAGUUGUAAAAUUAGUUGUACAAAUUUUUAUAAAUAAUGAUAGAUAAAUUCUACUCA